AUGGACAUCAUAAAGAUCUUUUUGGGUUCCUUCUUUCAGGUCCUGCUCGACAAGUUGUUUUCCAUGGGAUUGAACUUUGCACAACGAGAAGGAACGGGCGCCUUGCUUCAUCAGUGUAAGGGGAUGCUAGGGACAAUCACUGCAGUGCUUGAUGAUGCAGAGGACAAGCAACUCAACGGUGAACCUCUAGCGAAACAGUGGCUGGACGAUGUUAAGGACUUGGCCUAUGAGAUGGAAGACUUGCUCGUUGAGCUUGAGAUCGAAGUCACUCAAGCUAAGUCGAACACAGAAUCUAGCACAAGCAUAGGUCAGGUGAAAAGGAAGUUCUUUGACUGUAGCCGAUCGCAGUCACUCGUGUGUGAAACCAAGUUACAAGAGAUCAAAGGCAAGUUUGAAGAUAUUGUCAACAGGAAGGCUCUCUUAAGCUUGAGAGAGAAUGUUGUGGACAGAUCUCACUACACCAACAAAAGGCUCCCCAGCACUUCUUUGCCGGAGCCUCAGUUUUUGGGUAGGGAGAAGGAAGAAGCAGAGAUACUCAAACUACUGACAGAUGAAGCCGAAAAUGCCGAUAGCGGGCUGAGCACAAUCUCCAUAAUUGGGAUGGGCGGUAUUGGAAAGACGGCAUUGGCUCAACGGUUGUAUAGUGAUGCCAAAGUGAGUAAUUGUUUCGAGAGGAGAGCAUGGGUCUAUGUUUCAGAUAUUUUUGAUCUUCUUGACAUAACAAGGACUGUUUUGCAGUCAAUCACCGAAAAGCCUUGUGAGGACAAAGAUCUUGACAGGCUUCAAAUAAAGUUGAAGGACAGUCUAUCUAGAAAGAAGUUUCUUGUGGUCUUAGAUGAUGUAUGGAUUGAGAAGUACGAACAUUGGACUUCCCUCUUAAAGCCAUUUGUAGAGGGGGCUAAGGGAAGCAAGUUCAUCAUCACGACACGCAAUCGGAAUGUUUGUUCCAUAAAAGCAACUUUGCGAUAUUUUUUGGAGGAGUUGUCUGAUGGUGAUUGUACUAGCUUAUUAGCCUAUCAUGCUCUCGGAGCAAAAAAUUUUGAGAGGCACCCACAUUUGGAAAUAUUAGGCAAGGAAAUAGCUAAAAAAUGUGGAGGCUUACCUUUGGCAGUGAAGAUAUUGGGUGGUCUCCUACAGAAUAAAGAGAAUCCCAACGAAUGGAAAGCUAUCUUAAAUAACAAAGUAUGGGAUGUAGUGAGAAGAGAAAAAGAUGAGGUUCUUCCAGCUUUGAAAUUGAGCUAUGUGCAUCUUCCUUUUAUUUUGAAGAAAUGUUUUGCUUAUUGCGCCAUAUUUCCAAAAGGCUACGAAUUUGAGAGGGAUGAGCUGGCACUCUUAUGGAUAGCAAAUGGCUUUUUAGAUGGACAAAAAGCAAAAGAUAUCUUGAUGUUGGGACAGGAAUGCUUUGAUGAGUUAGUAUCUCGGUCCUUUUUUCAGCAAUCUAGCGUUAACACAUCAAAAUUUUUUAUGCACGAUCUUUUGAAUGACCUAGCAAAGUCAAUCGCAGAUGCGACAUACUUUAUCUCUGGGGAGUCUCAGGUAGUGAAUGAUAAAGAGAAAGCUCGGCAUGCAUCAUUGGUCUCACAAUAUGUUACAUCAGAAAGCUUGAGAGCAUAUGCUGGAAUGAAGAAGGUGGAAGAAGUUAGAGAUGCAAUUGGUGCAAUUAGAAAGCAGAGCCUUAGCAACUUAAUCUUGCUUUGGGAUAAAGAUUUUGGAAAUCACCGGAACUAUGAGCGCGAAGCACAGCUCAUUUUGAAAGCCAGAAAAUGAAAUUUAUUGGAUUGGAGGCCUUACCCUGCUGAUCAAGUUGUGAGAGAUAUCAGCAGGAAGUUUGGUUUUGUGCUCUUCAAUGGCUCUUCUAAAACCGCUUUUCUGGCCUCUGAUGUUGAUGGAAGUGUUGCUUUCUUCUGGGGAAGUGAUUCUGGGGGCAAUCUUGUUCUCUUAGAUGAUGCAGAAGUCGUGAAGAUGGGCUGUGGGAAAUCUUUCGCACCAUUCCCUAAAGGAUGCUACUUCACCAGCUCUGGAGGUUUGAGGAGUUAUGAGCACCCACCGCAUGAGGUGAAGCCGGUUCCUAGGGUGGACAGCUCUGGCCAUGUGUGCGGCGCCACAUUCAAAGUGGAUGCGGAGACUAAGAACUGCAGCAUGCCUAGAGUUGGGAAUGCUGCGAACCGGUCCUCAUUCUACUGAGUGGUAUGGUUUAUGGCCCUUUUUUGGACAGGCCUUUAGCUAUUGGAGGGCCUUCUGUUGCCAAUAACCCAGUCACGCUUUCUCAUACAUUGAAAACUUUUCAGCUCUAAUGGUUGGUUACUCUAUGUUGAGAGUUUGAGAUGACAUUGUAUUAUGCAGCUGUAUAUGUUGCUUAUAAAACCAAGCCUUUACAGAACCUGAUCAUGCUUUGUGAAGUAAUAUCUUUCUGGCAUUUCAUUUAGCCAUCAUGCAGAGU